GAUGAACGCUAGCGGGAGGCUUAACACAUGCAAGUCGAGGGGCAGCAUAGAGUAGCAAUACUUUGAUGGCGACCGGCGCACGGGUGAGUAACGCGUAUGUAACCUACCUUGUACAGGGGGAUAGCCCGUCGAAAGGCGGAUUAAUACCCCAUAAUAUUGUACUCUCGCAUGGGAGAACGAUAAAAGCUUCGGCGGUAAAGGAUGGGCAUGCGUGACAUUAGCUGGUUGGUAGGGUAACGGCCUACCAAGGCUACGAUGUCUAGGGGUUCUGAGAGGAAGGUCCCCCACACUGGUACUGAGACACGGACCAGACUCCUACGGGAGGCAGCAGUGAGGAAUAUUGGUCAAUGGGCGCGAGCCUGAACCAGCCAUCCCGCGUGCAGGAAGACGGCCCUAUGGGUUGUAAACUGCUUUUGUGCAGGAAGAAUGUGCCCAUCGUGAUGGGUAGUGACGGUACUGCAUGAAUAAGCACCGGCUAACUCCGUGCCAGCCGCCGCCGUAACAC
rnacentral:rRNA from 1 species